rnacentral:rRNA from 1 species
UACGUAGGAGACGAGCGUUGUCCGGAGUUACUGGGCGUAAAGGGCGCGUAGGCGGCUCGGCACGUCCGUUGUGAAAUCGCCCGGCUCAACUGGGCGGGGUCAGCGGAUACGGCCGAGCUUGAGCAAGCUAGGGGGCAAUGGAAUUCCCGGUGUAGUGGUGGAAUGCGUAGAUAUCGGGAGGAACACCAGUGGCGAAGGCGGCACUCUGGGCCGGUACUGACGCUGAGGAGCGAAAGCGUGGGGAGCGAACAGG